CGCUUUCUUUCAUCUCUUCUUCAGGAAGGUUCUGAUUGGGUUCUUGCACUUCUUGGUUAGUUCUAUUCCUCUUCCCUUUGUCGGUUCUUCCAUACUUAGUUCCUCCUCCACUCUUAGUUCCUCCAUACGUCCUCCAUUCUUGUUUCCUCCAUAAUUCCUCCUCCACUCUUUUAGUUCCCUCAUACUUCUUCCACCGUUCUUGUUUCCUACAUACUUCUUCCUCCAUAAUUCCUCCUCCACUUAGUUCUUCAGUGAGGCAGAUAAAUCACCCUACUCGUGUUCUGAGAAAUAACUACCUCGGCAACAAACACCUCACUGGAGCAAUCACCGAGACUAUUUUUAGAGGAGCCCCGGGGCGAGUAGUGACGUCAUCAUGGCGGGAAAGGGACGAGGGAGAGCGCAAAGUCAACAUCUUAUCCAAGAGACUCAAUACACCUGGUUAUUAAUAAAACAAUAUGACACAACGGACGAAGGAUUUUGUCAACCCUACCGAGACAACAGGAGUCGCAGUGUUCAUUUUGAAAUUCAUCGGACCUCUCCUUGCCGAUACUUUCUGGGGUACAGACGAUGACGCUACCCCAGCUGAAUGUGGUUCAAUACUAACGGCCGGUGCAGUAACUGUGAGUUGAGUAUAUCACUUGAUUUUCUAAAGGUCAUAUACCCAAUUAGCU